rnacentral:misc_RNA from 1 species
GGCUAUUGGUAUGUUGCCUCUUGUAGUGCAAAUCUGAUUUUUGCAGGUUCGCAAACUUCGUCAUCAGAGAGUUUGUGGGUAGAAAUAUUACAGCUGAUGGGUGGUCAGUAUUCUGAAUUAAGUCGGAAGCCUAAGCAAGACAUAUAACUUCUCAAUGGUCACUUUACUGUCAAAACCGAGCAUAUUCAGUUUGUGUGAAGGCAAAUGUACAUAAUGGUGGCACAGGUCCCUAAUCUAGUAGAGUUAUCGUUUUCCCAUUUCUGCAUCUCUCUUAGACCUUUGUAAUAAGUUAGUAUAUGAUAAAUUUAUGUAAAAGAUAAUCUUUGGAGGGUCCUAG